UACGUAGGGGGCUAGCGUUGUCCGGAUUUAUUGGGCGUAAAGAGCGUGUAGGCGGUUUGGUAGGUCCGCUGUGAAAACUCGAGGCUCAACCUCGAGACGCCGGUGGAAACCAUCAGGCUAGAGUACAGAGGGGGCAACUGGAAUUCUCGGUGUAGCGGUGAAAUGCGUAGAUAUCGAGAGGAACACCUGCGGCGAAGGCGGGUUGCUGGGCUGAUACUGACGCUGAUGCGCGAAAGCCAGGGGAGCGAACGGG
rnacentral:rRNA from 1 species